rnacentral:rRNA from 1 species
AAGCCUACGGGGCGCAGCAGUGAGGAAUAUUGGUCAAUGGUCGGGAGACUGAACCAGCCAAGCCGCGUGAGGGAGGAAGGUACAGAGUAUCGUAAACCUCUUUUGUCAGGGAACAAAGGCGGGGACGUGUCCCCGGAUGAGUGUACCUGAAGAAAAAGCAUCGGCUAACUCCGUGCCAGCAGCCGCGGUAAUACGGAAGGUCCGGGCGUUAUCCGGAUUUAUUGGGUUUAAAGGGUGCGUAGGCCGGCUUUUAAGUCAGCUGUGAAAGUUCGCGGCUCAAC